GACGUAGGAUGCAAGCGUUAUCCGGAAUGAUUGGGCGUAAAGCGUCCGCAGGUGGCAGUUCAAGUCUGCUGUCAAAGACCGGGGCUUAACUUCGGAAAGGCAGUGGAAACUGAACAGCUAGAGUAUGGUAGGGGCAGAGGGAAUUCCUGGCGUAGCGGUGAAAUGCGUAGAUAUCAGGAAGAACAUCGGUGGCGAAGGCGCUCUGCUGGACCAUAACUGACACUCAGGGACGAAAGCUAGGGGAGCGAAUGGG
rnacentral:rRNA from 1 species